GAUGAACGCUGGCGGCGUGCCUAACACAUGCAAGUCGAGCGAUGAAACCGCCUCCGGGCGGACAUGAAGCGGCGAACGGGUGAGUAACACGUGACCGACCUGCCCCCCGCCCAGGGACAGCCCCCCGAAAGGGGGAUUAAUACCUGGUACUCCGGAAGCGGCGCAUGCCGCGUCCGGGAAAGCUUUCGCGGCGGGGGGUGGGGUCGCGGCCCAUCAGGUAGACGGCGGGGCAGAGGCCCACCGUGCCGACGACGGGUAGCCGGGUUGAGAGACCGACCGGCCACAUUGGGACUGGGAUACGGCCCAGACGCCUACGGGAGGCAGCAGUGGGGAAUUUUGCGCAAGGGGGGCAACCCUGACGCAGAAACGCCGCGUGCGGGACGAAGGCGUCCGCGUCGUAAACCGCUUUCAGCGGGGAACACUUCAACGAGGGUACCCGCAGAAGAAGCCCCGGCUAAAUACGUGCCAGCCGCCGCUGUAA
rnacentral:rRNA from 1 species